GCGGGUGUGGCGGAAUUGGCAGACGCGCUGGACUUAGGAUCCAGUGCUUUUGGCGUGCAGGUUCAAGUCCUGUCACCCGCACCA
rnacentral:tRNA from 1 species